rnacentral:rRNA from 1 species
UGCGCAGGCGGAUUAAUAAGUCGGGGGUUAGAUCCAUGUGCUUAACACAUGCACGGCUUCCGAUACUGUUGAUCUAGAGUCUCGAAGAGGAAGGUGGAAUUUCCGGUGUAACGGUGGAAUGUGUAGAUAUCGGAAAGAACACCAGUGGCGAAGGCAGCCUUCUGGUCGAGUACUGACGCUCAUGCACGAAAGCGUGGGGAGCAAACAG